UAGUAACGGCGAGUGAAGAGGAAAGAGCUCAAAGUUGGAACCUGUUUGGCUUAGCUAAACCGGAUUGUAAACUGUAGAAGUGUUUUCCAGACACGCCUGGUAAAAAAGUCCUUUGGAACAGGGCAUCAUAGAGGGUGAGAAUCCCGUCAUUGGCCAGAGCUGUUGUCUUUUGUGAUACAUUUUCAAAGAGUCAGGUUGUUUGGGAAUGCAGCCUAAAUUGGGUGGUAAAUCUCACCUAAAGCUAAAUAUUUGCGAGAGACCGAUAGCGAACAAGUACCGUGAGGGAAAGAUGAAAAGAACUUUGAAAAGAGAGUUAAACAGUAUGUGAAAUUGUUAAAAGGGAACCGUUUGGAGCCAGACUGGCUUGAUCGUAAUCACUCUAGGCUUCGGCCUGGAUGCACUUGCGGUCUAUGCCGGCCAACGACAGUUUUGUUUGAGGGAAAAAAUUACAUUGAAUGUGGCCCCUCGGGGUGUUAUAGCUUUGUAAAAAAUACCUUGGACGGGACUGAGGAACGCAGCGAAUGCCUUUAGGCGAGAUUGCUGGGUGCUUGCGCUGAUACAUGCUAGAAUUUCUGCUUCGGGUGGUGCUAGUGUGUAAAGGAGUAACCCGCUUAGUAUAUUUUUUAUUCGCUUAGGUUGUUGGCUUAAUGACUCUAAAUGA
rnacentral:rRNA from 1 species